rnacentral:ncRNA from 1 species
CGGGAAUGCGGAUUAAAAGGGAAUCGGGUGUAAAUCCCGGACAGUCCCGCUGCUGUGAAGCUCUGUUUUAACAUCUUGGAACUACUUUUGCCACUGGCUUGUUAUAAUAAGUCGGGAAGGCUUCAGGAUGGGAGUCAGUCAGAAGACCUGCCGUUCAAUU